GAAGGUAUCGUCUGUUGUGGAUC
rnacentral:siRNA from 1 species